rnacentral:rRNA from 1 species
GACGAACGCUGGCGGCGUGCCUAAUACAUGCAAGUAGAACGCACAGUUUAUACCGUAGCUUGCUACACCAUAGACUGUGAGUUGCGAACGGGUGAGUAACGCGUAGGUAACCUGCCUGGUAGCGGGGGAUAACUAUUGGAAACGAUAGCUAAUACCGCAUAAUAUUAAUUAUUGCAUGAUAAUUAAUUGAAAGGUGCAAUUGCACCACUACCAGAUGGACCUGCGUUGUAUUAGCUAGUAGGUGAGGUAACGGCUCACCUAGGCGACGAUACAUAGCCGAACUGGGAGGGUGAUCGGCCACACUGGGACUGAGACACGGCCCAGACUCCUACGGGGGGCAGCAGGAGGGAAUCUUCGGCAAUGGACGAAAGUCUGACCGAGCAACGCCGCGUGAGUGAAGAAGGUUUUCGGAUCGGAAAGCUCUGUUGUAAGAGAAGAACGGGUGUGAGAGUGGAAAGUUCACACUGUGACGGUAUCUUACCAGAAAGGGACGGCUAACUACGUG